GGGCGUAAAGAGCUCGUAGGUGGUUUGUCGCGUUGUUCGUGAAAUCUCACAGCUUAACUGUGAGCGUGCGAGCGAUACGGGCAGACUGGAGUACUGCAGGGGAGACUGGAAUUCCUGGUGUAGCGGUGGAAUGCGCAGAUAUCAGGAGGAACACCGGUGGCGAAGGCGGGUCUCUGGGCAGUAACUGACGCUGAGGAGCGAAAGCGUGGGGAGCGAACAGGAUUAGAUACCCUGGUAGUCCACGCCGUAAACGGUGGGUACUAGGUGUGGGUUUCCUUCCUUGGGAUCCGUGCCGUAGCUAACGCAUUAAGUACCCCGCCUGGGGAGUACGGCCGCAAGGCUAAAACUCAAAGAAAUUGACGGGGGCCCGCACAAGCGGCGGAGCAUGUGGAUUAAUUCGAUGCAACGCGAAGAACCUUACCUGGGUUUGACAUGCACAGGACGACUGCAGAGAUGUGGUUUCCCUUGUGGCCUGUGUGCAGGUGGUGCAUGGCUGUCGUCAGCUCGUGUCGUGAGAUGUUGGGUUAAGUCCCGCAACGAGCGCAACCCUUGUCUCAUGUUGCCAGCACGUAAUGGUGGGGACUCGUGAGAGACUGCCGGGGUCAACUCGGAGGAAGGUAAU
rnacentral:rRNA from 1 species